CGGCAGGUUUAACACAUGCAAGUCGAGGGGCAGCGGGGAGGAAGCUUGCUUUCUCCGCCGGCGACCGGCGCACGGGUGAGUAACACGUAUGCAACCUGCCCCUGUCAGGGGGACAACCCGCCGAAAGGCGGGCUAAACCCGCGUACAUGCCACCGGGGCAUCCCGGAGGCAGGAAAGGCUUCGGCCGGACAGGGAUGGGCAUGCGGCGCAUUAGGCAGUAGGCGGGGUAACGGCCCACCUAACCGACGAUGCGUAGGGGUUCUGAGAGGAAGGUCCCCCACACUGGUACUGAGACACGGACCAGACUCCUACGGGAGGCAGCAGUGAGGAAUAUUGGUCAAUGGUCGGGAGACUGAACCAGCCAAGCCGCGUGAGGGAGGAAGGUACAGAGUAUCGUAAACCUCUUUUGUCAGGGAACAAAGGCGGGGACGUGUCCCCGGAUGAGUGUACCUGAAGAAAAAGCAUCGGCUAACUCCGUGCCAGCAGCCGCGGUAAUACGGAGGAUGCGAGCGUUAUCCGGAUUUAUUGGGUUUAAAGGGUGCGCAGGCGGUCUGUUAAGUCAGCGGUCAAAGCCCGGGGCUCAACCCCGGCCCGCCGUUGAAACUGGCAGUCUCGAGUUGGAGAGAAGUAUGCGGAAUGCGCGGUGUAGCGGUGAAAUGCAUAGAUAUCGCGCAGAACUCCGAUUGCGAAGGCAGCAUGCCGGCUCCACACUGACGCUGAGGCACGAAAGCGUGGGUAUCGAACAGGAUUAGAUACCCUGGUAGUCCACGCAGUAAACGAUGAAUGCUGGCUGUCCGGGGGGAUUGACCCCUGGGUGGCGAAGCGAAAGCGAUAAGCAUUCCACCUGGGGAGUACGCCGGCAACGGUGAAACUCAAAGGAAUUGACGGGGGCCCGCACAAGCGGAGGAACAUGUGGUUUAAUUCGAUGAUACGCGAGGAACCUUACCCGGGCUCAAACGGGGAGUGACUCAGGCAGAGACGCCUGUUUCCCACGGGACACUCCCCGAGGUGCUGCAUGGUUGUCGUCAGCUCGUGCCGUGAGGUGUCGGCUUAAGUGCCAUAACGAGCGCAACCCCCGCGUGCAGUUGCUAACAGAUAACGCUGAGGACUCUGCACGGACUGCCGGCGCAAGCCGCGAGGAAGGCGGGGAUGACGUCAAAUCAGCACGGCCCUUACGUCCGGGGCGACACACGUGUUACAAUGGGUGGUACAGCGGGAAGCCAGGCGGCGACGCCGAGCGGAACCCGAAAUCCACUCUCAGUUCGGAUCGGAGUCUGCAACCCGACUCCGUGAAGCUGGAUUCGCUAGUAAUCGCGCAUCAGCCAUGGCGCGGUGAAUACGUUCCCGGGCCU
rnacentral:rRNA from 1 species